rnacentral:lncRNA from 1 species
AGCUGGCGGCGGCCCUGCCCGGGCGGCGGCGGGGGCGCUGGAGGGCCUGGUGGCGGUGUCCGCGAACAGGGAGGCGUCCCUGUGCGACCCCCGAGCCCCCGGCCGCGGGGCCUGCCCCUCCUGCCCGCAGCCCCAACAGCACUAGACCUCAAAUGCUCAGCACGGUCCAUCUGACCGUGGUGACAUGGGCCGUUGGUGACACUGGUUCCACGUGACAGUUAAUUUCUACUUAAAACGACCUCUCAAGAAGCCAGUGAAACCCCGUCUCCUGCCCGGGAACAGCCGGCCUCUCUCUGUGACUGUGUCUUGUAAGAUGAGACUUUCCCAGCAGGAUUCCUGGGUGCACAGGCCAGGUGGAUGAGCCCAGUGAGCAGACACAAAGGAGACACCUCCUGGCCUGAGGCAUGUUGAUCCUCCCAGCUGAUAACUUCAAAGGCUGGGGAGGGGGGAGGGGAUCAGGAGAGGAUGCUGGUCUCUGGAGCGCCAGGCUCACUGCAAGGAUGGUUCUCACCAAGUGGGGCAGAGAUGAUGCUGGGAGUGGGGUGGUGGAAGCUGGCCUGGAGUCUGGAGAGGAGGUGGAGGAGGAUAUGGAGGACCAGUGUCCUGGAAGUGGAAGAGGGGAGGGACACCUAGGCUGCAGUAGGGGAGGGGGAACACCCUGGGCUAGGACCCCAGGCCUGAGGGUGGAGAAGGGAGAGGAGAACUUGAUCCUAUUGGGAACCCUGGUCUUGGUGUCCAAUGUCCCAGCUGAUCUCCCUGCCAUGGCGGGGCCCUCCGGGAAUGGUGGGACUCCCACAGCUUCCCCUAUUCCUCCAUUAGAGCCUGUACCCUGUCUUACCUCAGUUCCUCAUUCGUUGGAUGACUCCCAAAGCACAGAGCUUGCUCGUGGCAGGGGAUCUGACCUGUUCCACCCCUCCAGCUCUCACUGCACCCACUUUAUGCUUCUAGGGUUUUCUCUACUGCCAAGAAGCAGCUGAUCGCCAGCAUCCUUGACUUCAGACCUGCCACUUUUAAGCUCCAUCAGAUCUGCUGCUUCCUGUGGUGACUGGUGGGCCUGGCUGUUGUGGGCAUGCUGUCUCUACUCAGUCAUCCUGAGCUGCUGCUGGCUGGGAGAGAGGUUGCUGGGGGGUAGAUGGGGAGGCUACCUUAGCCAAUGGGGAGGGGCGAUGCUGG